rnacentral:lncRNA from 1 species
GAGAUUUGGAGGCCGUUGGUAGGGGCGGGUUGAGUUGCCGAUGUUGGUGGAGCAGGGAGGGGAUAUGUAUGUGAGUGUGGCCUAGCAAGGCCGAGAGGGGUAGAAGGGUGCAUGAGUCACGGAUGGUGGUGACGGGAGGUGGAAAUGUUUGUGUGUGUGCGUGGCCCAACGAGGUCGAGAGAUGGAGGAGUGAGUAUGAGUCGCCGAUGUUGGUGACGCGAGAGGAUGGUAUUUGUGUGUGUGUGUGGCCUCUUUAGGUCGAGAGGUGGAGGAGUGAGUAUGAGUCGCCGAUGUUGGUGACGCAAGACGAUGGUAUUUGUGUGUGUGUGUGGCCUCUUUAGGUCGAGAGGUGGAGGAGUGAGUAUGAGUCGCCGAUGUUGGUGACGCGAGAUGAUGGCAUUUGUGUGUGUGUGUGGCCUCUUUAGGUCGAGAGGUGGAGGAGUGAGUGUGAGUCGCCGAUGUUGGUGACGCGGAAUAAUGGUGUGUGGGUGUGUGCGUGGCCUAUUAGGUCGAGAGGUGGAGAUAUAGGUGUGAGUCGCCGAUAUUGGUGACGUGGAAUGAAGGUGGUUGGGUGUGUGUGUGUGUGGCCUCGUGAGGUCGGGAGAUGGGGGAAGAGUGUAUGAGUCGCCGAUGUUGGUGACGAGAGUUAGUGGAUGAUUGUUGGGUGGGGGGGGGGGGGUUGUUUGGCCGUGCUAUUGCCUUGGAAUGGGACCUUGAUAAUUAGUGUAGGGAGAGGGUUAUGAGUUGUUUGGGGUUGGGUAGGAUAAAUGCAUAUAGACAUUUCUGGAAAUUCUUGUCACUGCAUAUUACACUUACAACUUGAUUUUUAUCGUAUUGAGUUAUGUGAACUCACUUCUCAUCAUUCACAGGUGGAGUAAGGACGGAAUUGGGAUCCGAGCGGCUGGUAACGGAGCCCCGUCGAUAGUGCCAUAGGGCACAAGUUUUGUUUGUGAUUUAAAGUAGUUUGAGAGGAUGGUUUAGUCUGGAUAUUGAAUAUCUAGGAAUGUUUGAUAUUGUAUUACUAUGUGUUGUAGAGGUGGAGAUGUAUGUACAAUUGAUUUGGAACAUGGAAGGUGGAUAUCUCUUGUGCAUGGUUGGAAUAAUAUGAAUUUCGGUAUUGUGUUGUAUGGGUGCUUUAUCGUACACCGUUAAGAAAAAAAAAAACGGGGUGUUACA